rnacentral:lncRNA from 1 species
CCCGGAUGUGCUUCUCCAACCCCAUGUGCAAGGGGUGUCACAACUGGCGCCAACGGUUGGGUUGGUACUUUUUUCUCAUUCACUCUCUUUGGGAAAAAUAAAUCCCAUAUUUUUCAUCAAUGAUCACUUUAGACUGACCUUACAUUCGCACGAUAGGUGAUGCAUGGCAACAUAACAUGGGUGACACGCACUAGACACGCAACUUAACUUAGGUGGUGUUUCUUUAUCCAGGGACUAGACUAAAAAGUCCCUUUUAGUCCCUAGGUAAAGAAACAGGAGGGACAUUUCUUUAAGGGACUAAAAAAAGUCUCUAUUGGAGGGACUUUUUUCUUUAGUCCCUGGGACUAAAAAAAGUCUAGUCCCUUGGAAAGAAACACCACCUUACAUCUGACAAUGGGAUUGGGUAGGUGAGCCAACCUCGUACAUGUGCUAGUAAAUGUACCCUUUACUCCGCAACAGAAACAGUGCAUAGCCUUCUCUCUUCCUCUUAGUUUGGGCGUUCAUAUAAAACCAUUGCAAGAGUCAUGAAAAUGCACAAGAUAUGCAAGUACUGUUUCAACCCUUCUAGUUAGGUUGAGAAGGUGGAAAGAGAGCUACUUCUCAGGAAUGGAGGAGGCCAUAGGAUACUCAUUCGUAGGCAUAGGCGGCGUUAGGAUGAGUGUUUCUAGUACGACUCGGAAUUCCAGUUGCUUUAUUCAUAUGUAAAUCACCACGAUUCUCAUCAACAUAUAGAACAAGAAUAAGCCUAGAGGAACCACUUGCAGGCUUGGUCUCCAAGUAGACGUUAGCAUAGCCGUGAAAAGAUAACCUUCAGCUUUACGAUUGGCCGACUCAACAGGAAAGAGGGCAAAGACCAGCAGGUAGUGCCUGUUGGUUUUGCACCGUCAAAAUCAUCAGGAGCACCACGUAUGUGUACGUGCAAAGCUAACUUAAACAAGCAUACUGGCACCUUGAUCGAUUAGUGCAUUGUACACGCGUACCUGCAAUUGACCGGAGACUUGCGUAUGUAUUGUAUAUACGCGUCGGCUGGCUAGCUUUGAUUGAUUGGAUGAAUCUCACGACGGGAACUCGAAUCAACUCGGCUCUCUCGACAAGAACGAACAAAGGCAAAGGCAUUGAAUCUUUGAUAACAAGCUUGCUAAACUCUCUUUAGGACUUAACUACGCAUGCGAGUCUUCCCAUGCGGCGGCUAAUUCCAUCUUUCUAUCAUGCAUGCAUGCAAUGACAUCAUCAAGAUUAUCUAUAUUGACUUAAAAUUUAAAAAGUUUUAUCUCUAAAACCGUUAAUUUAAUUGACAAUCCGUUUUCAUCGUUGGCUUUGUCGCAACGAGAUCUUCAAAACUAGACCACAUGUUGACAUGUUUCUAGAACUUUUUUCUCCAUCCAUAAUUGGCACAUCUUUAGACUUACUUGUCGUAUUAUUAGCCACUUACUUGUCUAAAAAAAUAACUUAAUUGCCAUUUUUUUCUCGAUGUGAAUCAUGUGCUGCAUGUAUUCAUAUUGCAGCACACAACAACGUGGGCUAGAAGGAUAUGCAGAUGGCAUCACAAAAAUAUGCAUUGCAUGCAAAGCGUCACACAGAAAAUCGAUAGAAAAAAGUGUCUCACACAAAAUAUGUGUUGACUGACCUUAUUCACUAGCUAAAUGCAU